UACGUAGGGGGCAAGCGUUGUCCGGAAUCACUGGGCGUAAAGCGCGCGCAGGCGGUCUUUCACGUCCGGGGUGAAAGCCCAGAGCUCAACUCUGGGAUUGCCUUGGACUGACGGGGAGACUUGAGGAUCGGAGAGGCAAGGGGAAUUCCACGUGUAGCGGUGAAAUGCGUAGAGAUCCGGAGGAACACCAGUGGCGAAGGCGGCUGCCUGGGCCUGGCCUGACGCUGAGGCGCGAAAGCGUGGGGAGCGAUCCGG
rnacentral:rRNA from 1 species